GAUGAACGCUGGCGGCGUGCCUAACACAUGCAAGUCGAGCGAAGCGAUUUUGAGGAAGUUUUCGGAUGGAAUCGAAAUUGACUUAGCGGCGGACGGGUGAGUAACACGUGGGUAAUCUGCCUUAUACAGGGGGAUAACAGUUAGAAAUGACUGCUAAUACCGCAUAAGCGCACGGGGACGCAUGUUUCUGUGUGAAAAACUCCGGUAGUAUAAGAUGAGCCCGCGUCUGAUUAGCUGGUUGGUGGGGUAACGGCCUACCAAGGCGACGAUCAGUAGCCGGCCUGAGAGGGUGGACGGCCACAUUGGGACUGAGACACGGCCCAA
rnacentral:rRNA from 1 species